rnacentral:rRNA from 1 species
GAUGAACGCUGGCGGCGUGCUUAACACAUGCAAGUCGAACGAAGCAUUUAGGACAGAAUACUUCGGUUUGAAGUUCUUUAUGACUGAGUGGCGGACGGGUGAGUAACGCGUGGGUAACCUGCCUUGUACUGGGGGAUAGCAGCUGGAAACGGCUGGUAAUACCGCAUAAGCGCACAAUGUUGCAUGACAUGGUGUGAAAAACUCCGGUGGUAUAAGAUGGACCCGCGUCUGAUUAGCUAGUUGGUGAGAUAACAGCCCACCAAGGCGACGAUCAGUAGCCGACCUGAGAGGGUGACCGGCCACAUUGGGACUGAGACACGGCCCAGACUCCUACGGGAGGCAGCAGUGGGGAAUAUUGCACAAUGGAGGAAACUCUGAUGCAGCGACGCCGCGUGAGUGAAGAAGUAAUUCGUUAUGUAAAGCUCUAUCAGCAGGGAAGAUAGUGACGGUACCUGACUAAGAAGCUCCGGCUAAAUACGUG